AGACUGUGCUCCUUUGAAGAAGGUGUCGUCCAUAUGACGCUGAAGGUCCGUGAUGACUACCCCAGGGUGCACAGAAUACGUGGUCACCCCCGUACCUAAAGUAACACAGGAUCAUACAUGAUGUUUUGAAGAAUUAUAUAACGACAUUUCUACCACGUCGCUUGUAAUAAUUAUUAAACCAAACUCCGCCCUGAGACACAGGCAGCAACGACCUCUGAAACGUCGAUAAACGUCAAACCAGAAGACAGCCAUCCUCGAAUCAUACAAUUCUGUGUAUCGUAAUAUUUGUCAUUUGUCUUCAGUGACUGGAAAUAAACUUGACUUCUUUCAACAAAAUAAAUUAUAUGUAUUCACUGAAA